GCGGAUGUGGCGAAACUGGUAGACGCACCAGAUUUAGGUUCUGGCGGGAAACCGUGGGGGUUCGAGUCCCUCCAUCCGCACCA
rnacentral:tRNA from 1 species